UCGAGUUAGGGUCUUCUAGGCCCGAUCUCCAACCCUUUGUAUAACUACCACGUUGCUUUGGUGAGCCCGUCUUUAACCGGACCGCCGGAGGUUUUCUAGCCUCUGGCCCGUGCUCGUCAGUAGCCCACACUUAAAAUUCUUUUAACCAUGUUAAAUCUGAAACUAGUUAAAUAAACUA
rnacentral:misc_RNA from 1 species